GAUCCCUUGGGUCAUGCUGAGAACAUGGAUACCAAUCUUGCCAUUGUCAGCCUUCCCUUCCUGUUAUUUGUUUUGACUUUCUUUAAAAACGUACUUUUUCGAACUCCUCCUAGACCAUUUGUCCGAUUUUCACCAAAUUCGAGUCAGAUCAUCUUCAGACUGAAAAAGUUAUAAAUUUCAUGUCGAAAGACGAAACUCUUUUCGUUGGCAUGACUUGUGUUCUUUGUGCUUGGCCCCGAUAAUUGCUGCUUGCUGCUAUAUUUAUUAUUGCAGUUAUAAUCAGUCUCUUAAACUCAAUAGAAUGAGAUGUAUAAACUGGGUGUGAUGCAGUUGAAGUAUUAUACACAUUUAUUGGAUACACAGAGGAACGCUCGUUAUCUUUGCAUAAUUGCAGUGGUAAAGACACAAAGGAAGCUCACACAAACUACUAACUCAUAGCAACAUAAUUUUUCUUGUACUAUCUGCAUUCCUGUCUAUGACAACCUAAAACUGAAUCCCUUGUGUUGCAGUAGCUCUUUUACACCUUUCUAGGCCCAUUUAUGCCAGUUUGUUUCAUCACACUUGUUUGCUUCUCCUUAAUAUAAGGAUGAAUCAUGUUUCUUUUUACACAGACUGUGGUAUUGAGUUGGCUGUUUUUCUUGCCAAGUUAUGACAGCAUAAUUAUUUUCCUGCUGUAUUUUGGUCAUAGUCCGUUAUAUGCAGGUCUGACUAAGAAAUAAGUUUAAGGAAUUACUUCAUCAUUGUAAUUUCAGAUACUAACUUGCUACACAAUUUAGGCAUUGCAAUUUCACUACAGCUUCAUGUGUAAAUAAUAAUGCAAUUUCAUUAUUUUAUAGAUAGUGUACAAUAAGGUUCCAAUUGUUAAAA